GUCCUUUUGAUUAUAAUUUAAGGUCUGAUCUGCCCACUGAGUAUUUAAAUGGCCGCGGUAUUUUGACCGUGCAAAGGUAGCAUAAUAAUUAGUUUUUUAAUUGAAAGCUGGAAUGAAUGAUUUCAUGAGAAAAUAACUGUCUCAAAUUUAUUUAUUUUAAAAAUUUAUUUUUAAGUUAAAAAGCUUAAAUUUAAUUAAAAGACGAGAAGACCCUAUAGAGUUUAAUAUUCCAAUAAAUAAGAUUUUUUAGAUUUAAUUUUUUUAUUUGUAAAGAAUAUUUUGUUGGGGUGACAGAAAAAUUUAAUAAACUUUUUUUUAAUUUUAACAUUUAUAUAUGAUUUUUUGAUCCAAUUUUUUUGAUUAUAAGAUUAAAUUACCUUAGGGAUAACAGCGUAAUUUUUUUUGAGAGUUCUAAUCGAAAAAAGAGAUUGCGACCUCGAUGUUGGAUUAAAGUUAAAUUUUGGUGUAGAAGCUAAAAAUUUAGGUCUGUUCGACCUUUAAAACUUUACA
rnacentral:rRNA from 1 species